rnacentral:rRNA from 2 species
CCACCACCAAAGCAUUUGCUGUACCGCGUUGACGGAGCGAAGCGACGUCAAACCGAUAAAACAGCAGUGUAAAGUGAGCCGCAGGGCGCUUUGCGCGACAGCGCAAAGGCAGGCGGUUUCGCGUAGCGAAAGCGAAUGCUUUGGGGUGGGGUGACUGCGUACCUUUUGUAUAAUGGGUCAGCGACUUAUAUUCUGUAGCAAGGUUAACCGAAUAGGGGAGCCGGAGGGAAACCGAGUCUUAAUUGGGCGUUAAGUUGCAGGGUAUAGACCCGAAACCCGGUGAUCUAGCCAUGGGCAGGUUGAAGGUUGGGUAACACUAACUGGAGGACCGAACCGACUAAUGUUGAAAAAUUAGCGGAUGACCUGUGGCUGGGGGUGAAAGGCCAAUCAAACCGGGAGAUAGCUGGUUCUCCCCGAAAGCUAUUUAGGUAGCGCCUCGUGAAUUCAUCUCCGGGGGUAGAGCACUGUUUCGGCUAGGGGGCCAUCCCGGCUUACCAACCCGAUGCAAACUGCGAAUACCGGAGAAUGUUAUCACGGGAGACACACGGCGGGUGCUAACGUCCGUCGUGAAGAGGGAAACAACCCAGACCGCCAGCUAAGGUCCCAAAGUCAUGGUUAAGUGGGAAACGAUGUGGGAAGGCCCAGACAGCCAGGAUGUUGGCUUAGAAGCAGCCAUCAUUUAAAGAAAGCGUAAUAGCUCACUGGUCGAGUCGGCCUGCGCGGAAGAUGUAACGGGGCUAAACCAUG